GGACGAACGCUGGCGGCGUGGAUUAGGCAUGCAAGUCGAACGGUAUAAACCUUUCGGGGUUUAGAGAGUGGCGAACGGGUGAGUAACACGUAGGUAAUCUACCCUCAAAACGGGGACAACCCAGGGAAACUUGGGCUAAUACCGGAUGCGUGCAAGCAAUGUUUUGGCUGUUAAUGCUAUUCACGGAAGUGAGUAGUGUUAAUGGUUGAGAGCAUUAUUUGCAUAAAAGGUGGCAUUUGCUGCCGUUUGAGGAUGAGCCUGCGUCCUAUUAGUUAGUUGGUGAGGUAAUGGCUUACCAAGGCGAUGAUAGGUAGGCGGCCUUAACGGGUGGUCGCCCACACUGGGAUUGAGAGACGGCCCAGACUCCUACGGGAGGCAGCAGUCGAGAAUAGUCUACAAUGGACGGAAGUCUGAUAGUGCGACGCCGCGUGAACGAAGAAUCCCUUCGGGGUGUAAAGUUCUUUUAUAUGUGAGCAGUGCCCUUUAUAUUAAUAGUAUAGAGGGAGGGAUUUAAGCGUAUGAAUAAGCAACGGCUAACUCCGUGCCAGCAGCCGCGGUAACACGGGGGUUGCAAGCGUUGUCCGGAAUUACUAGGCGUAAAGUGCAGGUAGGCGGAUAGAUAAGUUUAAGGUUAAAGGCUACGGCUUACCCGUAGUAAGGCGUUAGAUACUGUUUAUCUGGAAUGCGGUUGAGGGAGACAGAAUUCCUGGUGUAGCGGUGGAAUGCGCAGAGAUCAGGAGGAAUACCGAAGGNNNAGGCAGUCUUCUAAGCCGAUAUUGACGCUAAACUGCGAAGGUGUGGGGAUCAAACAGGAUUAGAUACCCUGGUAGUCCACACAGUAAACGAUAAUCACUAGGUGUUGGGUUCGUAUAGGACUCGGUGCCGGAGCUAACGCGAUAAGUCUACCGCCUGGGGACUAUGGCCGCAAGGUUAAAACUCAUAGGAAUUGACGGGUCCCCGCACAAGCAGCGGAGCGUGUGGUUUAAUUCGAUGCUACACGAAGAACCUUACCUGGGUUUGACAUAGAGGUAGUAGGGAAGCGAAAGCGGACCGACCCUUCGGGGAGCCUCUACAGGUGUUGCAUGGCUGUCGUCAGCUCGUGUCGUGAGAUGUUCGGUUAAGUCCGCUAACGAGCGCAACCCUCGCUGUGUGUUACAAGUGUCACACGGUACUGCCGAUAUUAAGUCGGAGGAAGGUGGGGAUGACGUCAAGUCAGCAUGACCUUUAUAUCCAGGGCUACACACACGCUACAAUGGCCAGUACAAUGGGUUGCCAAGCCGCGAGGCGGAGCCAAUCCUAAAAAGCUGGCCUCAGUUCAGAUUGCAGUCUGCAACUCGACUGCAUGAAGUUGGAGUUGCUAGUAACCGCAGGUCAGCAAUACUGCGGUGAAUACGUUCCCGGGGAU
rnacentral:rRNA from 1 species